rnacentral:rRNA from 1 species
UGCAUAGGAAUCUACCUAGUAGUAUAGGAUAGCCACUAGAAGUGGUGGGUAAUACUGUAUAAUCCCUGCGGGGGAAAGAUUUAUCGCUACAUGAUGAGCCUAUGUUAGAUUAGCUAGUUGGUGGGGUAAUGGCCUACCAAGGCAGUGAUCUAUAGCUGGUCUGAGAGGAUGAUCAGCCACACUGGAACUGAGACACGGUCCAGACUCCUACGGGAGGCAGCAGUGGGGAAUAUUGGACAAUGGGCGCAAGCCUGAUCCAGCUAUGCCGCGUGAGUGAGGAAGGCCUUAGGGUUGUAAAACUCUUUCAGUGGGGAAGAUAAUGACGGUACCCACAGAAGAAGUCCCGGCAAACUCCGUGCCAGCAGCCGCGGUAAUACGGAGGGGGCAAGCGUUGUUCGGAAUUAUUGGGCGUAAAGGGCAUGUAGGUGGUUUGGUUAGUUAAAGGUGAAAUGCCAGGGCUUAACCCUGGAGCUACUUUUAAUACUGCCAGACUGGAGUCCGGGAGAGGAUAGCGGAAUUCCUAG